AAUAAGAGAAGCAAAUACAUUGAGUAAAACAUUCCAGUUUCUUUCCCUGUACUAGGCCUACUAGUCCUAACGUAUGUUUGGGUUUACCCAGUGGAUGUCAUAUAUAAAUCCAGUGCUGCGGAUCUCCCUUGAAUCAGUUUAGACGUCUUGCUGAGGGACUGAGAGUCGGAUGGCAGCUUGUCAUUGCAUGUUUGCUGGGGCUCUUCAGGCCUGAGAGGCACAGCUUAACAUGGGAUCCAGCCUGGCCAAAGCCCUGCAGGAGCUGCUUGCCAAACCCGUCGAUGUCCAGACACUGAGCAUAGCCAUUUUUAUCUUAGGCUUGGUUGUCUUCACGGUGCUAUGUCUGCUGUUCAGUCUGCUGCAUGUGUCUCACAAACCACCGCUACAAAGCAAGAAGAAGAGAAGAAGAUCACUGGGUCCCUAUGUCAACCAUGUCCCCUCGGUCUCAACCACACAAGGCGCAAGAAACAGAGUGCAUGGGAAGAACAAGAAGACGGCCAACGAGAAUCAUUCCUCUAGUCAGCAAGUAACUGUGAGCUGCAGGGAAGUGCCUCGAUACCAACUGAAUGCGUUAUGUGUUAGCUGUGGCAGGGUACAGUCCAAGAAAGCGUGCAGAUACUCCCGCUGUGGCGAAUGUUGCCGGGCCAACAAGGCCUCAAUCUGCACAGCACAUGGGACAGGAGGCUCAGCCGCUCUCGGCAUUGUGGAGGGUGCCCUGGAUGACAGACCGCAAGAAUUAGACCUCAGCUACAUGAACCUGAAGCAGUGUCCAUCACGCAUUGGCUACGUCGGUACUCAGCUGGUCUGCCUGAAUCUCAUCAACAACCGAUUGACGGAGUUGCCAGAGGAAAUCGGUCUCCUCAGAGGGCUGGAAGAACUCUUCCUGCAGUACAACUGCCUCAAAGAACUACCAGAUUCCAUCGGACAGUUUCACAAGCUGCAAGAGCUAGACUGUAAGAAUAACCACCUGUGCAAGCUGCCUGGCAGCUUGGGGAACCUCAGUUUGCUGUCCAUUUUCAAUGCUACCAACAAUCUGCUGCAGUCACUGCCCAGCGAGAUAGGGAACCUGACCCGGCUGGAGGAACUCUGUCUACAUUCCAAUCAGCUAACUAAACUACCUGACACAAUAUGCAAUCUUGUGAACCUAACGGCCUUGUAUUUGGGAGAGAACAGACUGACAAAAUUACCAGCUGGGCUGGGCAAGUUGAUUAUGCUGACAGAGUUAGACCUUUCUUCCUGUGAACUAACUGAACUGCCAGAUUCCCUGUCAAGGUGCACUUCACUCAUCAAAGUUUGGCUCUCUAACAACAAGCUGCAAACAUUGCCAGACCAGUUGGGUAGACUGCACCAGCUCAAAGAACUUCACGUCAGGAAUAACUGCAUCCGCUAUUUCCCUGCCUCUCUGUCGUAUCUACAGCUCUACACCUUCAGUGCCAAUCAGAAUCCACUGCUUUAUGAAUGGGACGAACCGGUCAGGGCCAAGCUGACCGUUAGUCCAGACACUGAUGUGCCCCCGUUGCUAGAGCUCGCAGCCAGACAAGUUGCCCGAUGCAAUGUUGCUUGGAAUGACGGGGACUUACCAUCAGAACUGGCAGCUGCAUGACACGAUUGAUCGAUAGUCUGAGGUCACUCGCCCACUGUGGCGCAGCCGCCCGCUUGCUGAAGGAGCAUUUCAUGAAGGAGCACAGUCUCAUUGGCUGACCUCCUGAGGAGUCGUAAGCAGUGUUCCAGCUGUGAGGGGCCGUUCUUCCGAUACUACCAAUCCGAAGUUGUC
rnacentral:misc_RNA from 1 species